rnacentral:rRNA from 1 species
GAAGAAGGUCUUCGGAUUGUAAAGCUCUGUUGCCGGGGAAAAAGGAAGGAAAGAGGAAAUGGCUUUUCUUUGGAUGGUACCCGGCCAGAAAGUCACGGCUAACUACGUGCC